rnacentral:rRNA from 1 species
UAGGGAAUAUUGGGCAAUGGGCGCAAGCCUGACCCAGCAACGCCGCGUGAGGGAAGAAGGUUUUCGGAUUGUAAACCUCUGUCCUAUGUGACGAAGGAAGUGACGGUAGCAUAGGAGGAAGCCCCGGCUAACUACGUGCCAGCAGCCGCGGUAAUACGUAGGGAGCGAGCGUUAUCCGGAUUUACUGGGUGUAAAGGGCGAGUAGGCGGGCUGGUAAGUUGGAAGUGAAAUGUCGGGGCUUAACCCCGGAACUGCUUUCAAAACUGCUGGUCUUGAGUGAUGGAGAGACAGGCGGAAUUCCUAGUGUAGCGGUGAAAUGCGUAGAUAUUAGGAGGAACACCAGUGGCGAAGGCGGCCUGCUGGACAUUAACUGACGCUGAGGAGCGAAAGCGUGGGGAGCAAACAGGAUUAGAUACCCUGGUAGU